rnacentral:lncRNA from 1 species
CUUGCAACUCCUUAAUGGUAUCUGCAAUCACAUCGCUGAAAAACUGCCUGUAAGGAGAAACAGACCAACAAAAAAUGAGUUAAUAAAUUCUAUUUUCAGCCGGGCAUGGUGGCUCACCCCUGUAAUCCCAGCACUUUGGGAGGCUGAGGCAGGCGGAUCACGAGGUCAGGAGAUCAAGACCAUCCUGGCCAACAUGAUGGAGUUUCGCUCUUGUUGCCCAGGCUGGAGUGCAAUGGUGCUAUCUCAGCUCACCGCAACCUCUGCCUCCCAGGUUCAAGCGAUUCUCCUGCCUCACCCUCCCGAGUAGCUGGGAUUACAGGAGUAUCUUUGGAUGCUAACCAAAAGUGUCUCAUGAUGAGUGAAAAACAGAAUGUGGUAUCCAGCCUCCAAGGUGGCCCAAAUGAUUCUCACUUUCUAGUGUUAACGCCUCUGUGUAGUCUACACCACACCGAGCAGGACUAGCCUAUGUAACCAGAAGGUUACGGUGGGGAUGACGGAGUGUGACUUGCAAGGCUAGGUGAUAAAAGACAUUGCAGCUUCUGCCUCACUCUCUCAAAUCUCUCACUGUGAGGGAAGACAGCUGCCUUGGUAUGAGGACACUUCAGCAGCACUGUGGACACAUCCAUGAAGGUAAGGAACUAAGGCCUCUUGCCGGCAGCCUGCACCAACUUGCCAGCUCUGUCAAUGAACCACCUUGGAAGUGGAUACUGCAGCCCCCAUCAAGUGUUCAGAUCAUUGCCACCCCUGGCCAACUUCAAGUUCAGGAGAGACCUCAAGCCAGCACCAUCCAGCUAACCUGCUCCUAACCUUGGGACCCACAGAAACUGUGGGAAAGAAUAAAUGUUUAUAUUUUAAGUCA